AGAGCAAGGUGAGCUUGUGGACUUUCCUCCUGGGAGAUGCUAUCAGGACAAGCUGUGAAGGUGGAUGUCUGAAAGAGAUCAAGACAAUUUUCUAAACACCAGUACACAACAACACUGAACGUGGACAAGUGCAUUUUGUGAUGUGGCACUGCUGAGCAUGAGCCUGCUGGGAUUCAGGAGCUCAGGCAGGAUGUCACAUUUAGCAGGGGAUUGUCAAAUGCUCGAAAGCUGGAAUCACAGGAGCACUGUUUAAUGCUAAGUGGUAUCUGCAUCAUAUCUGAAGCUGGAACCUGCCAGGAAAACAUCCUUCACAUUCUGCACUAAUAUUUCCAAGCUU